UUAAGCAGGAGAGGGCAGUGACAAAAGGGGCCAUGGAAGCUUUGGAGGGAGUUUCUAGCCAAGCUGGUGUUGGACAUGAGGAUAAUGUUGACAUUGAACAAAUUCCUAGUCCUGUAUCCAAGGGAUAUUUCAAACUUUUUCCCAGGUCUUCUCAAGAUAGAAUUGCAUAUGUUACCUUUGAUUUGUAGACAACUGAUCUAAUUCGUGGAGGAAGGAUCCCACACAUAACACAGAUUGCAGCAUCUGAUUUGACCCCUAAAUCACAGAGGGAGUUCAACUGCUAUGUGCUUCCAAAGAUUCCACAGUCACAAGAGGCCCAGAGAAUUAGUGGGAUCACUAUGUCUUCAUCCAAUGUAUUAAUGGUAAAUGGGAAGGAGGUAGAGACUGAAACUAUUGACUCAGCUCUGUCCAAGUUUCUAGAUUGGCUAAAAUUCUACAAGAAAGUCAUCCUGAUUGCUCACAUUGGCAAAAAUUUCGAUUUCCCUAUGUUCGUGACGGCACUUGCAUCUGUGGAUCGUGUAUCCGAAUUAUAUGAUGUUGUAAUAGGAUUUGUUGACAGUCUACCUUUGUUAAAAAAGGUUUUCCCUGGAGAAAGUUCGUACAAGCAAGAAAAUCUUGUCAGAAGCCUACUAGCUGCAGCAUAUGAUGCACAUAAUGCCCUUGAGGAUGUAAGAUCACUAGGCUGGCUUAUGAAGCAUGAGAAAGUAACUGAUAAAUAUCUUGCAGACUUUUCGUUUUCACCUGUAGCAGUGAAAAAUUAGUUGCCAUUUAACAGGGAGAAAACCAAAAACAUUGGAUCAUUAAAUCCAUUAAUUGCAGCCGGUGUGAUGAAGAUGACAACAGCAGAAAAUGUUGCAGGGUUUGGUUUGUGUCUUGCAAACCUUCGAAAAAUUCAUAUGCGGGAGGGUGAGGAUGGACUUCGAAAUAUUUUUAUUAGCAAAAACAGUCACGGCCAAGCUCGGGUCACUAGUUGUAAAAGAACAUUAGAUUCUGUCAUUCCAAAAUUAUGUGAAUUUUUUGACAAGUAUAACAUGUAGUAUGAAUUCAUAUUAUUAUUUGUGUCUUGUUAUGUACCAAUGCACAUCAAAGCAAAAAAAAAAAAAGGAAAAGAUGAAAAUGUAUUUGAUAUAUCACAUAUUAUGUUAUGGCUGUUAACCCUUGUGAGUAAAUUAUCUUUGGAGGUCAGGUGAUGUUAAAUGAACAGAAUAAGAACUUAAAUGUACAUUGUUAACAUGCUGAAAUAUAGUUUCCUCCUCAGUAGUAGUUGACGUUAUUUGAAAUACCAUGAUUACAAAUAUUUAAGGAUUUUAAGGGUCAAGGUCAUAUAUCUAGGUCAAAUGAUUGAAAUUU